CCUCUCUCCUGGCUGGCGGUCCUGACUUUCUAGAAAGCCUGUUGUUCUCUGCGACCAGUGAGGCAGUACGAACUUCCCAGCUCUGAAUGUGUGCGUGUGUGCGUGAGUGUGUGUGUGUGUGUGUGUGCUUGUGUUUGAGUACUCUCGUAUGCGUGCGCGCGCGUUCGUGUGUAUGUGUGUAGCAGCAAGACCCAGAGGUUUGUUUUGCAGAAUGAGAGUGUGAGUCUAAAGUCCUACUUUAUAUAACUUAGAACCAUAAAGCUAGACGACAGAAACAGUGAGAAGUACGAAUUCACUAGGGGUGGAGCAUGUAUUCCAAAAGAGGGUGGAACAGAAGGAAAGGGAGCUUCUCUCAUCCCCAUCCACAGAAGCUAUCUACUAGAUUGUGAGCUCCUUAAGGUCAGGGACUGUCUUUUGUCUCAUUGUUUCCCCAGUGCUUAGCACAGUAUCUGGCAAAUAGUAGAUGUUUAAUAAAUGUUAACUAAUUGAUUGAUUAAUGGUUGAU
rnacentral:lncRNA from 1 species